rnacentral:lncRNA from 1 species
UUUUUUUUAAUUAAUUUUUUUUUUUACUUACUCAUUUUAUAUCCUACUCCCAGGUAUAAAAUGAAUAAGUAAAAAAAUUGUGGAGGGGGCUCCCUCCUGGUCACCCCCUUCCACAAUCCUUCCUCCAUUCCUCUUCCUCUUCUCCUGGGAGCGGGUGGGGCCCCCCUGGGUGUCCGCUGACCCCGGCACUUCAAGUCUCUGAGAGACUAGGCACUUCCUUUCCCCAUUGAGGCCAGACAAGGCAGCCCAGUUAGAAGAACACCUCCCAUGUACAGGCAAUAGCUUCUGGGAUAGAGCCCAGCCCAGUUGUUUGGAACCCACGUGAAGACCAAGCUGCACAUCAGCCAAAUAUGUGCAGGGAGCCCUAGGUUCAGCCUGUGUAUGUUCUUUGGUUGGUGGUUCAGUCUCUGAGAGCCGCAAGGGUCCAGGUUAGUUGAUUCUGUUGGUCUUCCUGAGGAGUUCCUAUCCCCUUCAGGACCAGUAAUCCUUCCUCCUGUUUUUCCGUAAUGUCCCCAAGCUCCAUCCACUGUUGGGCUGUGGGUGUCUGCAUGCAUCUGAGUCAGCUGCUGGGUGGAGCCUCUCAGAGGACAGCAUGCUCCUGUCUGCAAGCAUUAACAGAGCAUCCUCAAUAGUGUUAGGGGUUGGUGCCUGCCUAUGGGAUGGAUUUCAAGUUGAGGACACACCUGUCUUCAAUCCUAAGUCACAGGUGGAGUUUCUGAAUAUCUGAAUUUUAAAAUUCCCUAUCUCCAGUUAGUUAGUAUCAAAAAGCCGAGAGGCCGUCACAAGAGGAUGUGAACACAUAACAAGUUCCGGGACAUGUACUGCCAGUCCUGAGAUUUCCCGUGGGUUGGUCCAAUGUGAGCUGUCAAAAAAGGUAGAAAAUAUGAAGCCAAUGAAAUAGAAAAUAUAAAUAUUAUAUUAGACUCUUUCACCAUUCAAAAAUAUUCCUACAAGGGCCAUUUCAACUAAAAUGCUUCUAUAAUACAUUCAGAACACGUGUUGGCUCACCAUCUAGAUUGCUGAAAGAUAUUGGCAAACUAUUUUUCAAAGAGGUAUCUUGGGUCUUGUGUUGUUUACCAGAAGACAACUUGUAUAAGGCCCAAAAUACCCACAUUUCAAUACUUCAGUAUCUUGGAAAAGUGCUAAGUACCUAUCUUCACUACUAACUGGGAAAUUUCAGUUCUUUUGAAGUCAACAAACAUACAAUGAGGAUUUACUGAAUGAUAGAAAAACAUGGAGGGCUUUGAACAGUAUGACCCUAAAGCAUUUAAACUUCACUCUGAAUGUUGGAUAAGCCAUUGAAGGCGGGAUGGAUGCUGGUAGAUUUCCCCCUUUAGGAAGAUUGCCUGCAGGGAAUAGAUGCGUAGGAAGAAAGGAAGGGUGCCACGGAGUCUAGAAGUCCAGCCAAUAGACUGUUCCAGCAUUUGGAGCUGGAGAGAAUGAGACAGACUUGGCAAUGCAGGAGGUCAAUAUGGAGGAGGCUGCAAAUGUGGAUAUGGUGAACACAUAGUUUACUUUCCCUGGCUAGAUGGUUCACAUCAAAAUAGAACACUUUAAUAAGGACCCCUGAACCAUCUAUUAGCCCAAACUGAAAGUGCCCUAGACAACAUGUAUCAGAGGGGAAUGGAAUGUAAGGGUGAAACGUCUGACGGUAGAUACUCGGUAGUAGAUGAUCCCAAUCAAAGAUGAUGUCCAGAGGACUUGAGGUUAUCUUAGAUUUGGGAUCUAAAACAUGGAGACAAUGUAACUAUUUUUAAAACCGAGGUGGGGGAAGUAUGAGUUACAUCUGACCCCCUGACACACUAACCUACCUAGAGCAUGAGUAUAUAACAAGUGUUAUUUUCACUUAUUCUCUUUGUUUUUCAUUGUUUCUUUUCCAAUCAGCAAAUUGCAUUUUAAAUAGACCUGGGUAGGCAGGAACUAAUGAUAUAAUUUAGAAGUGUAAAUAUUCUCAUUACCCCCCUACCGUCCGCAGCAUUUGUCUUUGGAGCUUUCCGGAGCAGUUGGCAAGCCCUUCCCUUUAGCACCAUGGUAGGGUUCCUUUAAAUCCGUUUCCAGAAAAUCUAUUGUCUGGGGAAUCACAUAGGGAGAUGAGAAGUUUUAAAAACCUGGUCUUCUAAAACUCCAGGCGUAGUCUGAUUUCCAAUAUAAAAACAAAAGUUGCCAUUCUGUGGGGUGUUUAAAGUAAUACGAGGCUGGUAUAAGAGGCUCAGUGUGUUGGGCUGGACAGCAGUAUUGUUAUGGCUCCCUCCUGUGCAGGCACUUUGGAUGUUUGCUUUGUGUUGAGACGAUUGUCUCUGGGAUUGUAAAUUACUUAGGCAGCCUCAUCACAGUCAAUUAAAUUCAACAUCCAAUUUUCAUCAAGGUUUUCCUUUUAUCUAAUUCUACUGUGCAGCGGAUUGAGGCUUGUGGAGGUCAAGUACCUUGGCUAAGGUCAUCUGGCAUGUUAAUGUCUUAGCUUAGGUAAGUUUAGACCCUGUUGAUUCCAUGAUUCAUUCACCUGUCUGCUAAUUAGCACCUCUCCAUCCUUGUUGCUUAGCUUGUGAACUGCCUGUUUUAAGAGUUCUCAACACCCAGUGGGAUUUAUGGGAAAUCUGUAAGCUCAUGAAUUAUCUUUUAUCUGGAAAAUAAGAAAAUAGAAAUCAAUUAUGAUAAUAUCUGGUGUGCAGGAAGGGGGUCUCUAGGGAUUUGAUAACCCCUGCCAGCAAAAUCAACACUGGGCUACUUGGGUCCUUGACUAUAGUUGAAUGAUAAUCCAUAUACUAUGUGGUAUUCAAGGCUGGCAUGGUGGAAGGUGGGAAGGCCUGCAAGUGAAUUACUUCAUUCCAGGGGCAUGAAGUUUUCCAGGGCACAAAUAUUCUGCAUUCAUUUCCUAGAGCCUGCUGGAAGUGUGGCGUAGCUGUUCUGUUGAUGUCGGGGGAGGGAAUUGUCUACAAAGACACAAAUAUGAAGCUUACAGGAAUCCAGCUGAGACAUGAUUCCAGAAGGGUUAGACAACUGGAUCCUGUAGUUAAUUAACCCUCUUCGACUUCAUCCUUCUAGAAUUUGCUAAGACGCAAAACACACAGAGAGUUUCUUGGUUGUAAUUUAAUCGACGAAACUAAGUUACAUACCAUGAACGUAAUGGUGGGUACACUGUAAUUAUAUAACUUUUGAGGAAUGAAAUCAUCUAAAAGCUUGGGCGCAAGCUAUGUUUUUAUUUUUUGCCCACCCCUGGGAAACUGUUUCCUGUCUUGGUUUUCCCUUUGGUGAAUAACACUUUGCUUUUUUAUUUCUAAGGCACUCUUUCUUCUCCUCUGUCAUCACUGCUCACCCAUCACCCUGGCUGGGAAGAUGCUGGCAGUGUUAAUGCAGUGAGCCAGUUAAUCACCUAGCUCAGCAGAGAUGCAGGGCUGCUUCGUGGGCUGGCCCUAAAGACAUGAUUUAAAACAAUGCCUUAAAAAGAUUAUCAAACAAAGGGGAGCAUUUAGUGAGCUGUUAAGCGGACGAGAAAUCCCCAGGAAGGAGAAAGGGACAGCCUUUAUCUUGCCAGAAGGGCAAAUGGUAAAGGUGAAGUGUCAACUGAGACACAUUUAUGUCAGUUUGAGUGACUAAAGGCCAAUUUGGCACCCCGUGUGUUUGGAUCAUAAGCUGUAAAAUGCAUGACCUUGUUUCCUGCUGCUGAUUUAUGGCUCUGUACACUUUGGGCUUUUUCUUUUCAUUCCUGGAAG